rnacentral:lncRNA from 1 species
UUAUUUUGGUACAGACAACACAGUACAGACCACGUACUACUUUUUUAUUACACAAAUUAUAACACUGAAGACCAUUUUCUUUCAUUUGAGUAAACUAUAUUACAUAUUUUCCAACAUAAUUCCUUAAUCACCACCGCCUUGACCGUAACCCUCACCAUGGCCAUAGCCCUCACCAUGACCAUAGCCUGAGCCACCGCCACCACCACCGCCUCCGCCACCGCCACCGCCACCUCCCCUUCCUUGACUUCUUCCAGAUCCUGAUCCGGCACGAGAGCCAGCAUAUGAACCGGCUUCGGAGCCAGCUCCGGAGCCGCCAGAGCCAGAACUGGAAGAUGAGGAAGCUGAACUUGAGGCAGAACUGGAACUAGAACCAGAACCAGAACCAGAACCAGACCCUGCUCCGGCACCAGCUCCAGAGCCACUGCCACCUCCUAUCCCCAGGCCCAAACCCAGUCCAAGUCCAACCCCCAACCCACCAAGGUCCAGGCCCAAGUCCUUCCUUGCCACUCUACUCUCUGAUACAAUAGUUGACAUAAAAAGAAGCAAUGCAAGUAGAUAACAUGACCAAGAUGUUGCCAUUUUGUGUGCAAUGUAGGUUUGAAAAGUAGGUAAAGAAGCUCAAGUAGUAUUAUAGCUGAACAAACUAUGCAGGGUGGUGUAGUAGUGAUAUCUCUAACUAUACUACAACACCCUUGCUAGCUAGCUACUCUGAAGAGGCCUUAUAGGGUUUACUAGUAUUUAUAGUUGCUGAAUGUUGAUGUUGAUGCUUUGGUUAGUGGCAGUGUAGAGUGCGGAUCAUGGUGUGAACUAGUGAAUAGGUUAUUUUAUCUUUGAGGCUAGAAAGUGGGAAUGAUGGCGUGGCAUUCUUGGAUUUUUGAUGGGCAAAAGCUUGUGGUUGAAAUGGCUUCUGCGCCUUGCACAUCACAUGAUUUAGGACACAAGUGCCAUAUGCAAUACCUACCCAUAAUGCCCACUACUCUCACCAUAGUGGAGGAUAUGAAAGGCUGUUUUGUUGUUGACUAUGGUGUUUUUGCUCCAUAAAAUUUAGUUUUAUAUUGAUGAUUUUUUGUGCGGCCAGCUCAUGGCCGGUUAUGGGUGAGGUAGGGCUUUUGUUUGCUCCAAGUGUCUUUCUCCUAAUUUUCCUGUGAGGAAUGAUACAUGCACAUCCAUUUAUUUUAAAUAUCUCAUUAAUAUUUUUUUCCAACCAUAUCCUAAAUUUUAUAACACUUAUAUUUUUCUCUCUUUAAGUAUCUUAUAGGAUAAUACGUGUUGAUGGAACAUUUUUCUUAUGGUAUAUGGUACUAUGGUAUAGUGUCAGGGUGAUAUAUGAGAUCAUUUUUUUGUCAAUGUGAUAUCCAAUUUCCUAAGACUGGUUUUCUCCUCAGAGUGACAUACUCAAUGGGGACAACAAAAUCAAUGUCCAAAUUCUUCUGGUGGAUUCAUUAGUCGUUAUUGGUCAUACGUAGUUUUAUUUCUGGAGUGCAACCACAUGUAGUUUCAUAAUUGAAUAUGUUAUAAGUUGUGAUUCUUUCUAUUUUUACUUUUUGAACGAGUGGUAGAAGCAAUCUUAAUAUGUUGCCAGUAAGAGAAAUCACGUUCUUAUCUUUCCUAUCCAAACCAAACGCAAGCGCUUUGGACACUCCAAUAUAUUACAAAUACGUAUGCAUCACUUCAAAUUAGUUUUUUUUUCUCUUAUUAUUAUGUUAAAUUAAUUUUUUUUUCUCUCAUUUAUUAUUUAGAUUUAAUUUGAUCUUUUAAUUUUUUUUAUUUAAUUUGAUUUUUUUUAUUUUUAAAAUUGAUUUAAUUUACUUCUUUAGUUUUUUUUUUCAAUUUAAUUCUCUAAUUUUGAAAAUUAAUUAUUUUUUUUUGAAAAAUAUGUAUUUUGUGAUUAUUUAAAAUUAUUUAAUGACAAUUUUAAACCGUUACAUAAUGUGAUUUUUUAAUUUAAAAAAUUAAGAGAUCAAAUUGAAUAAAAAAUAUUAAAAAACCAAAUUAAAUCUAAAAGAUAAAUUAGAAAUCUAAAAAGUAAUUUAAUCGAUAAAUUACUAACACGAUAAAAAGUGAAAACUAUAAGAAAUUAAUGUGAUAACUUCACGUGCUUCUAAUUAAUUUAGUGGGUUAUGGAUAAAAAGUGAAAACUAUAAGAAAUCAACUAUUGUAUUAAGAAUAUAAUUAAGCGGAAGGGAAUUAGGAACGUACGCAUAUUUAGCGAUCUAUGGCUUUGUUUUUUUUUGAGAAGUAGUGACCCAUUGCUAUCUUAUUCUGAAAGCAUACUAACAUUUAUUAUUAAGUUAUAAACCACUCCAACACUAAUUAAGUAUAUAUGUUCUCCGCAUAUCAAAAGCAAUGGAAAAAUAGUACAGUAAUCGGGGUUAUUAUAGAUAAUAACUUAAUAAGAUCGACAAAUAAACAAACUAGUGUAGUGAUUUCAUGAAUAACAACUUUAUAAGUAUGAGUAAUAUGAUAACUAUAAAAAUAAAUUCAUAUAUUCACGAACAAGUUUAGUUUAAAUUCAAUUGAAUAAUUUAAAACUUAGAUUUGAAAUUUGGUUCAAUCUAAAAAAAUGAUUUUUUUCAAGUGAUCUCGGUUUUGAAAAGUCUAGUUUUUUGCUUUUCAAUCUACUUUUUAAUUUUUACAGUUUGUUUUGAAUUAUUUUGAUUCGUGACGAUACUCCUUAAUAGUAUUUUCUCUAAGUAAAUAUGUUUAAUUGUAAUUUUAGUCUACCUAUUAUGAUUAAUGACUUAUUAUUAAGAAUCAAAUAUAAACUAUCAAAUUUUCAAUUUUUACAAUUAAAAUUUUCCGUCACUUUUUCUUUUCUUAAAACCUAUUAUUCUUACUUUUUUUUACUCAAAUAAUUAGGUCUCUAGGAUGAAUUUAAGAUAAAAAUUAUUUUAAAAGUUUAAAACUCAAACUUUUAAUUGUCUUUAAAAGUUAAUUACAAUAUAUAAGUUUUAAAAUUUUAAAUAAAAUCAUAUUUUAAUUACUAAAUUUUGACCAAUAAAUAUUUAAAAUGUUUAUUAGAUUUGUGGCUUCACAAUAUUGCUUACGGAACUCUACUCGUUGAGUUUUGAGAUCAAAUCCGUUUUUCUGGUAGAUCACUGUUCUUAGGUUGGUUACUUCUUGGGCUUAGGCCCAUUUCUGAUAACUUGACAUAAUGCUUUGCAGUUUGCAGUCGAAGCAAAACACCCUAUAUCGAUGGCUAUUGCAUCCUGCAAUUAUUGCAUAAGUAUCGAAUGAGUUUUCUGAAAUAUGAGAGAUAUAGGAUACAAUAGUAAAAGUGCAGGAUGCCUAAUCCAUAUAUGAUCAAAUUACCUGCGAAGAGGAUGGAAAAUGAAAUAAACAUCCUGCAUGUUAGUGUUAAUAAAGCAUAUAAAUUUUGUUAAUUUAUAAAAGAAAAGAGUCAAUAGUAUAAUACAAAGUAUUAUUUAAAUAGAGUUUAUUAAUUUAAAUUUGUGUGCCUAUUUUUCAUAACAUGACAUUGUCAUAUUCUUUAAUAUAUAGGAGGAUCCUGACCAUCAAAAAAAUACAAAUGCCUUCACUUUGAUUUUGUGAACAGAAAUUAAUACAAAGAACUAGCCACUUAAUUAUAAAAAAUUCAAAGAUGCCAAAGGGUAGGGCACCACACAAGAUCUCAUACUAAAAGGAGAGACACGACCAACCUAUAUCCAACUAUCACUAACCAACUUUCCAUAUGGCAUUUAUUUUAUACUCUGAAUCAUGAAUUGAAUGCUUACAAAAUGGACACCACUACACACAGAGUCUUAGAUAUAUAAGGAUCAAACUGUUAGUCUCCUUAUUACCGAUUUUUAGAAUGAAACCAUCCUUUAAAAGUUUUCAGGGCCUUGACCAUGGCACUUUACGUUAGCCACCCCUACCAGCUAGAGUAAGCUGCGAAGAUAUUGCCCUCUUAAAUGUAUUUACCUUUUAACACCAACACCCAAAGAUGAUUAGAAAUCUGUAAAAUAUCUCAAACAAGUUUUCCAAGUAAAGUUGUAUUAUGGUGCCUAGCAUUCCUUCUUACUCUUAGCCCACAAUGCUUCCUUUAGUUUAAUCACUUAUGUCCACCUAACCAUAUGAAUCCCUUUAAUGAUGUUGGUCCUUUAAUAUAAACCUCCUCACACUCCAAUCAAUAUAGUCACAAACAUAUUGGGAUACCAAAUAGUUUGUAUGCCAUAACACGGAAUAACUGAGAAUAAUGUUGGCAAGAAUAAGUCUCCCGGGUAUGUUUGAAAGGUUACUCUUCCAUGUGGCUAAUUUGGAAUUUAUGCACUCCGCAAUAUGGUUGAAAUCUAAUAUUUGGAUUCCCUCAUGCAUUAUAUUAAACCCCAAAUUGUUCGUGAUCAACCUUAUUUGGGUAGCAUUAUUUAAAAUCUCUUUUUCAUGUCUUGUCACUUCUCUAGAUGCAUAACACUUUGAUUUCUCCAUACUAACCUGAAAUAGAACUCGAAAAUGUUAAAAGAUUAGGGAUGUCUGAGAAGGCUUGGCCAUAACAAAUGGCAACACAUCAUCUGCAAAGAACAAAUGCCGAAUCUUAGGCUCAUUCUUUGCCAUUUAUAUUGAUUGCUAUCUCUCCCUUUGAACUUUCUAUGAUAUCAUAACCACCCGUCUUUCCAUACAAAUUACAAAAUAAAUAGGAAGAUAAAGGAUCACAUUGACGAAGUCUACAAACCAGACUAAAUGUAUUUAUCCUACUCAUAUUCCAAAGAUUAUUGUCUUGCAAAGAAAAUCCCAAUUCACUCAAUCAUACAUCAGUUUUAUUGGCCCGUGUCACACCUUUACUAUUGAGAGCUCUUGUACACCUAUAUUGCUAGUGUUACCAAGUUCCAUACAUGGUGUAUUAGCCACAACUUUGUUACACGUAACAAGUGAAGUAUUUUUUACCAAAACCAGACCCACCAUUGUGUUAUUAAUUAGCACAAUAUUUUUCAUAUUUAGCCUUGUAUCAUUCGUUUCUCUUUUCCUCUUACCAAAUUUAGCCAAAUCACGACGAUCAUUUUUGGCUAUAUUUAAACUAGAAGGACUUACCUUCCUUAAUAUUUUGUUGUAUUUUAAAUUUGCUAACCCCUAUAUUCUCACCAUUGUCAAUAUUCUUUUCAUAAUUCUCAUAUAUAAUUAAUAUUGCUUUUGUUAAUUACCUCCAACAACUUGCUUUUUAGUCUUAUUCAUUUUUUUUCCUUUUGUAACCACAAUCCAUUCCCAAUACAAAUUAUCAUACACAUUAAUAUUAUAAUUAACAUCAUUAAUUACACUUAAAAUAUGGCAAUAAGUUUAGGGUGUGCAUGCUCAUCUAACAUCCCUUCCUGAUCACCACUAAACGCUAUAAUAUUCUUCAUGGUAGUUUCUCCUUUGGCUCAAAAGCAUUCUCUUGCUAUGUGACAAUACAUCAUCAUACAAUUACAAGAAAUCAAAUAGGUCUUCAUAUACUCCACGUGAAACCUGUGGUUUCAAAACCAUACACUACCCACCAUAGUAGGAUUAAGGUUAAUUUUUGCACAAUCUUGUGCAAACUUUCCUCUGAAAGUAUCAAUGGUUUGAAUAUCCAUUUUAACUGAUUUCCCAACUGUUGUGGUUAGGACCACGAGAACGCUUACAUCAUAGUAUUCUAUUCUCAAAUUGAAAAGUUGUAUCCAUAGCAUAUAUCGUACCAUUAAUGAGAACUUCAAAAUGACAUAAAAUUUGAAACCUAGAGUUUCACUGCAAGAUAAUGAUCGAAGAUCAUCCAUAAACUACACUAAUAAUCUUCUUUCUAUCCUCCCCAAAUGGAACUUCACCAUAUACAAACCAUUCCCAAUAUCCACCAAUUACAUAACCCAAUAGGCCUCCAUGUUGCUUUAAGCUUUUCCCUCAUAUACCAAAGAAACUAUAAUUCUACCCUAGCAGCUUAAUAAUAUUUGCAUCCCUCCAAGGCAACCACAACUCCUCCAGAAUACUCUUUUCAAUAUAGCAUCAUCGUUUUCAAAUGAUCCCCCUCCUUUUAUUCAAUCUUGAACAUAUUUUUGGCUAUCAAAUUCAUUAUGUCUCUCUUAAAAUGAAGCACUUGUUAUCCUAACACUUUACCUCCAAAAAAUAUUCUCUAAAUCCCACUCCUUCCACGUCCUCCUCCUCAUCUAGAAGGUAGGGAUAGCUCAAGAACUUAAGAAACCUAAAAUAAAUUUAUUUUUUGAGGUAUAUUAAUACUAAAAAAAAUUAUUAAAAUUUAUUUUUAAAUAUAAUUUUACAAUAAAUUUGUUUUGAGGUAUAUUAGUACUAAAAAAAAUUUUAGAAUCUUUUUUUUAGAGGCUUAAAGUCCUUGUUUGGGCUGCUUAGGCCUUAAGCCAGCCCUACUGAAGGUGCAGGGGAGGAGGAGCACCAUACAUUGCAUUUUCUCUAUUUUAAGUUUGAUUCUUACACUUUUCAUUAUUAAUGCACUUUAUUCUAACAUAUAAUAUAUUUUUUAAAAUAUAAAUAAAUACUGACUAUAGAUUACAUAUCCAUCAGUAUAUUUAUCUAAAAUUUUAUGCACACGAUCAUCAAAAUGUUACGAUAUUCUUUAAUAGUUGAAUUUCUUAUAAACUUUUUUAUUAAGAACAAUGAAUGUAAAAACUUGAUUAUAAAGUAAAUUGUUUCCUUCCCAUUAAAAAAUAUUUAUUUAUUAUAUAUUUUAAUUACAGAAAAAACUUUAAUCCGCUUAAAUACAAAGACUAAAAUACUAGUUUUCAACUAAAAAGCUAAAUUGACGUAAAAAAAAAUUUAAAAAAAAAUGAAGGAAACUCGGGUUUUUGCACAUAUACGUUUCUUUUCGGUUUCGUGGGAUUACGUUUUCUUGUGUUGAUAAAAAUUUAUAAAUUGGAGGAGACUUGCGCAGUUUAUGCCUUUCAUCGGUUCAGUGAAAAGGGGAUGCCUACUGCGCCCAUUGUCUCCUUCAACGACGCCAAAUAAAUACCUCAAAACGGUAACCCUCAUCUCUCCAUCUUCAUUACGAUCUUUUUUCGUUUUAAAUUAAUCUAUUUGAUUUUGCAUCAUUAACUUUGGUUGUGAUCUUUUUAUUUCACAUCAUUUUUCCAUGAAUUCUCAUUCUCUUCGUUGCUGGCUACACACAGAUUCGAUUUGAUAUUCUUUUGCCUAUUUGAUUGGUAUUUAUUAUUUCUGUAAAAUUGAGCACCGCACCAUUCAGUUCUGAAAUGUUUCUUUAAAUCAAGGACUUAGUACCGAUUAACUUUUCUGUAUGUAUGACGCACAUCAUUUGAAAACCUAAGAUGAUGCGAUAAAGCCAAUGACUUUAAAGGGAGUGAAAAAUAGUAGCUGUUAUAUUCUGUAAUGUGUGCUCUGACCUUGAGGCCAUAUACUAAUGAAAUAAAACCAUCUCUGGAGAGUUGAAUUGUAGGAACUUGUUUUGCACUGUUGAAAAUUUGAUUAUUGACAUGGAUAUGCUUUUGGGUCUCUCUUGAUUGGAGUAAUGCUGUAAUGGUUAUUUGCAUUGCAGAUACCUUGACAGAGUUGGGUAUUGAUAUUUGCAUUAAAGUUCAUAAUCUGGUGAAUUACUGCUAGGGGCAAGGCUCUGCCGUCAUUUGAGGGGUGCCCUGUGAAAGUUCCUGGGAUGAUGCGACGUGGUUCUGGUUUAGGUUCUGCUGCUUCUCACCGUUCUCGGGAGUCCCUUCCUCUUCCUCAGCUGUUGGAGAAUAAAAUUGCUGCUCAGGAAUCAGAAAUAGAGCAGCUUGUAAGUGAUAACCGUGGUCUGGCUAGUGGACAUGUGGCCUUAAGAGAGGCGCUUGUUGCUGCUGCGCAGGAUGUGCAAAAGCUGAAGUCACACAUUAGAAGCAUCCAGACUGAGAGUGACAUUCAGAUCAGAAUUCUAGUAGAUAAGAUUUCCAAAGGGGAGGUUGAUAUUAGGGCCAGUGAUAGUGUGAAGAAGGACCUACAAAAGGCCCAUAUUGAGGCGCAGAGCUUGGCAGCUUCCAGGCAGGAAGUGAGUGCCCAAAUUCAUCGAGCGACUCAGGAACUGAAGAAGGUCCAUGGUGAUGUCAAGAGUAUUCCGGAUUUGCAGGCUGAACUGGACAGUUUAUUGCAGGAGCACCAGAGGUUACGGUGAGUAUUGAAGUCUGUUGUAUGGCUAUUUCCACCUGCAUGUAAAUCAGAACUGGUACUGAACUCCUCAGGGUAUUUAGUUAAUGUUGUUACAGUAGGGUCUAAACUGGCUUUCUGGAAACUAGGUUUUUGAUAAAAACAUAUUGGCAUCGAUUGAUCUGUGUCAAUGUUAUUAAAUAACCGUUAUAGUGCUGCCAUAAUGCUAUAGCAUGCGUUUUUUCGACCUCUUUGCCAUAGGCAAUUUGUGAAGGGAGGCCUGCUAUAGUGGACCAUAGGCUGCAAUGGCAUGUUUAUAAUUUUAUAUGGUGGAAUUUUCGCCUUCCGCCAUAUUACGCCACCCGCCAUUGAAAAUCUUGAUCUAUGUAGCCAAUCCUGCAUCAUGGGAAAAGACUUUUAUUGUUGUUGAUAUAACAUAAGAAUGGCAUACAGUAACAUUCUAUAAGCCAAAGCUGCAUAUUUUAUACAUCCACUAAAAAAAAUAAGAUAUGAAAAAUGAAGAAACAAUCAUUGAAAUUUAUUUGUUGUUUUUUCCUCCAGCAAGUACUCCUCCAAUAGCUAAUUUUAGGAAGAACCCAAGCCAUGCUAACAAGAACUAUUCCUUUCAUUUCCCUAUGUUAAGUCUGUUUAGUUUGAGAAAAUGUUUUCUUUUUUCAUUUGCUUCCAUAAAUAAUUACAAAAAUGCCUCUUUAUUUUCUUUUCUUUUUGUUUCUUGUUUUCACUGUUCUUGUGCAUAUAUUUGAAAAUAGGAUGACAUUUGUAAAUAUUUAUCAUUACUAGAAAUGAAAAUAGAAAAUGUUUUCUCAAGUCUAACAAGGCAUAAACUUGAUAGGAUCUCAUUGCAUUCAAGAUAUGGCAUGUUAUCUUUGAAGUGGGUAGCACAAGUGACAUUAUAGUGCGAGUCACCUAUUGUAUUGUCAUUGGUAUAUAUAAGGCAAGACUGUCAUACAAUGGAAUGAAAAUUAGUUCAGAACUUGUGUGAUGGAUUCCUGAAUCAUGAGUAUUUACUGAAGCGUUUUCAACAUCUAUAAAACCAUGCUUUAAGUCAAGAUUUGCUGUGCCAUUAUAUGCCUAAAUUCUUAAAUAUUUGGUAUUCCUUCACAUCUUGUUGCAUAUUCUUUUUGUUGCAGUUUGUUCCUCUUAAUUACUAGUAUCUCUUUUUCUGGUAACUUCUCUAUUAAUUCUUUAAAUCUGGUUGGGUAAUAGUGGCACAUUUGAAUAUGAAAAGAACAAAAACAUAGAGCUAGUGGAUUACAUGAAAGCAAAAGAGAAGAAUCUGAUAGCGAUGGCAAGAGAAGUUGAAGUGUUACGAGCUGAGAUUUUAAAUGCUGAGAAAAGAGUAAAUGGUAGCUUUCUUGCUUCAGUGUGUCAUAGUCUGUUCAUGUGAUAUUUUUAUACAUAUAUGUUUCUGAUGCACUUUUGCUAUGUAAACAGCUCCUAAUCUGUUUGGGGCUGCUACCCCUGGACACAGCAGCGGUCCAUUUGCUGAUGUUUAUGGGAGAGUUCAUGGUCAGAUGGCUGCUGGCCAAGUAGGAGAGAGUAUGGUACCAGUUGGUGAAAGCAAUGGAGUAGCAGCCAUCAAUAGUGCUGGUGUUAGUGGUGCUCUUUGGUCGAGUCCAUAUGAUCCCUCAGUUGGUCGGAGGUGAAGUUUAAUAAUAGUUAAUCAGAUGGAGCUUGACUUCAGCUUUUGCCGGUAAAAUACAUGGGAACUGCUGGUUUUUCUACGUAAAUUUCACAGAUUGGGUGGUUUUAUCUCAAUAGUUAAUACAGUACAAUUUUGUGAAUUGUCGAACCUAAUCUGCAAAAUUGAAGAGGCCAAAGGUCUAUGUCUCAAACAAAACUAUUGGUAAAAUGAAUUGAAAGUCUGGUCUGACAUGACCUAUUUAAUGAGCUAUAUAAUACUGUUCUUAAGUGUAUAACCUAUAGAGGGCAAUCCUAUUUUUCAGAAUGCACAUGAAACAUGCUCACGUUUUGUUUUCCAUCCAAGAUGACGAACUGUUUGUAAAUCACUUUUCUUGCUGGCUACAAGUGAACUCAAAUUAUAUUUCCAAGUGCUGCCAUAAAACUCGUCUUUUUAGAUAAAUACUAGCUAGCAUUUAGAGAGAAAAAGUGUAGGCUAAGAUAGAUGUGAUGAACGUUAAAUAAUAAAAAAAAAAAGAUAGAUGUGAUGAAGAGAAAUAAAGAAAUAAAUAAUAUUGUAACAAAUGUUAAAUAAAAGUAUUGAAUGAAAAUUAUAACUUAGCUUUUUAAUGUUUGGUAUUUAACCAUUUGCAUUAGUAGAGGUCUGAAAAUCACCGCUCUAGGAGUUCAAUUUUCCUUUCGUAUGAGUUGGAUAUUAUCUCGAGUGAGAUGAUUUUCAUAAAUCGAGAAAAAUACCAGGUAAAAGAUCUACUAAAGGGGAAAAAACAAUAGCCACAUCAAUUCAAGAGUCGAGGUUGAUUUUGUCAUCAUCAUCUCGAGUAGACAUUGGGUUUUAUGUUCAUGUUUAGCAUUGCACCGUCAUUAUCGUUAAUGCUAGAAUCUUGACUAUUUUAAUCACCAUCCAUGCUAACUUUUCAUAUUCUUGGUCUUGUUUACCUACUGUGUCAAUAUGAAUUGAACAUGAACCUUCAACUUGUUAGUCAAGCAUGUAUCAUGUAGCACAUUGUAUACAGCAUCCGUUAAAUAUAUUGAAAAAUAAAGGAUAAAAAAAUUGUUUUUUAAUUAAAAUAUUUUCACUAUAAAGGGGUGUGAGUUUUCAAUCCAAGUCAAUUCAAUUGAAUUGAAUUGGAUUGGGUUAACCUUUUUUUAUUUUGCUAACUCAAUCUAACAUGGAUUAGAUUAGUUAUUGGGUUAGACCAUUAAAAAAUUGUCACUUUUUUAUGUCUUGAAAAAAAAUUUAAAAAAAAUCCUCAAGCCCAAAACAGUAAGGAUAUUUUUUUUGACAAAAUAAUAAGAAUAUUUUAAAAAUAGUAUUCACAGAAUAUUUACUAUUCAUAUGAUAAAACAAAAGAAAAAAUAAAACAAAUAUAUAUUUACAAUACCAUUUAUAAAACAAUGUAUUAUCUUAAAUAAACAAAAAAAAGAUAAACUCCAAAAUAAUGUAAUAUAUUAGGAUAAAUAAUGUAUUAACUUGAGAAUGAGGUGUGUUUAAUUUAGGAUUUCUAUAUUAGUAUUGCAUGCGAGUUGAAUUAAUUUUGAUUGGGUCCAAAACUAUAAACCCAUAACACAAUCUAAUUUUAACAAGGUUUGUUAAAGUAAAACCAUUUCAAUCCAAUAAUUUACUCCAAUUCACAAAAAUCUAAUUAGACUAGAUUGGAUUAAGCGAUUUGGUGAAUUAGCUCUAAUCAGCUUACACCCUUAAGUCACUGUAUACCAACAAGUGGUUGAUUUAAAUUUAAGUAGUACAUAUGUGAUUUUUCUUAAAUAAGGUCAAUAAUUUCUAAUAAGAAAAUUAAUAUUGUCAUAUAAUAAAUGUUCUCGACUCAAAAACAUAGUGGUCCAGCUGAGGAAUUCAAUUGGGUUUUAAUUGUUAUGCCCAUCAAUCAAAAUGUCUAAUUGGGCCUACUUUGAGGCCCACGCAAUCCACUCGUUACUAUUUGUUUAUAUUUUAUUUACUAUGAUGCGCUUUUCUUUCGUCCCAUUUGUUGAUCGAGUCUGACUCAUGGCGGAGGUAAGUUUCCAUUUUUCUCCGACUCUGAUUCUCAUCGCUGAAUAACGAACUCGACGAUUUCGUUCAAUUAAUCUCCGUUUUGAUUUUCUUUUGUUUUCUUAUUUUCGCCAUUCGAGAUUCCGAUUUGUUAUCUUUUUGAGGUGUAGCAUAUUAAUCUGUUAUUAAACUUAUAUUGUCUUUCCGAUCUAUCGAAUCAUUUUACCACUGGCUAUUUGUCCUUACAACAAGUGAGGAAGUGAAUUGAUUUUUCUCCCUCUACGUGAAAAGAGUAGCAUUUCCGGAUUUUAUAGAUUAGGGUGCUUGCUGGUUAAUAUUCUUACCGGGUUCAACCAUUCAAUUUUGAGGUUGUUGUUUUAGCCAAUGAUUGAGAUUAUUGAAGGGAAAAAAGCUAAAUUAUUGAAGAGAAAUAUAUUAACCUUGUUUGAUUGAUAGUUUUAGGUUAUACAGUUUAGUUAAUAUGUAGCCCUUUUUUAUGUUCAAAUACGUCUUUUAAAAGUUUGCAAUUGGGUUCCUAAUUCGUAUAGUUUUGAAAAAAAUAAAUUAGUUGGGUUCUAUCAUCUGAGCACUGAUAGUCAUUCACUGGUGAUUAGGAUUCAGGGAUCCCAAUCAAGGGAAUCACUUCCAAAUUUUAAACUAUAGGAUCCAGUUGCAAACUUUUGAAAUCUAUAUUGUUUUCAGAAAAAAAUGAUUGAGCACAUGAACCCAGCCUCUAAUGACAGGAGCAAGAAUCCAGUUAUACAUUCUUAAAAGUUAGAACUACAGGGACUUAAAAGUUAUACAUUCUUAAGGUCCCACCCAGUUACAAUAGAGACACCUAUUUGAACACCCCCCAAAAGUAAGGAUCUAGAAAUUUGAUUAGCCAUAGUUUUACCAGAGACACCUGUUUGAAGAUAUUCACAGAUAGUGUAUUCGUAUGUGUCUGCUUCCCUGAAGAAUUAUUUUGAAUUUUGUUUCCAAGAAUGUUUGCUUUCUAUUUCAAAUUUGUUACUCAUGAUUACAUUUUGUGUAUAUCUUAGUUAUUACACCCAAAUGCCAUGUGGCUAUGCAACUGCUUAUUUUUUUAGAUUCUGAUCCUGAUAUUUUGAGUUAGCUGUCGAAAGUUGUUUUCACUAUAAAUGGUGGUAUUGAACCCCCCCAUUAUGCAAUUUACAUAACAUUCUAAAUCAAGCUGUGAUCUGGUCUUUGUUGCCACUGGACAUUCAUUAUUCAUGCAAGUCAUUAUUUGUUCAUGAGUUGAGGAGGGUAUGGAUAAUAUAUUUGAGGGCAUGCUUAUCUUAAUUGCUUGAAACUAGAGGCCAGAUACAAAAUCACCCUCUAGUUUUUUGUUGUAUUAUAUUUUUGUUUUUUUUUUAAUUUGAAUUUUGAUGCAACAGGUUUGGUAUGUUCCUAUCUUCUGUAAAUCUGUAGAUUUUUUCUGCUAACGUAAUAUUUUGUUACUUCCUGCUAGAUUGAACUGAAAACUGCACCUGCUGAUUUUCGUUUUCCUACAACAAAUCAAACCAGACAUUGUUUCACUCGCUACAUAGAGUUUCACAGGUGGAUUUCCUGACAUUGGCUAUCUGGUUCUGUGAAAAUGUUAUCUAGAAUCUUUUACUUAAUAUUGAUUUUAAUUACAGAUGCUUGGCAGCAAAGGGUGAAAACUCUGGUGAAUGUGAGAGAUUUGCUAAAUAUUACCGCUCCCUUUGCCCGGGUGAAUGGGUAAGCAGCCCCUAGCUUAUUGGUUUAGUUGGAAUUGACUUCAUAUGUACUUUACUGUAUAACUUGAUGCCAUAGCCGAAGUUAAUGGGAUUUGUGGUGUUCAAUGGUUCAUGAGAUUGUGUUUUAUACAGUUAGGAACUAUUGUUUUCUUUUUGUUUUUGAUUGUGAUAGGAAUCAUUGAGUUCCCAAUGUCCUUUACUUAUUUACAGCAUUACUAAUCAAUGUUCUUACAAGCUAGUGUACAUCAUUUUAGUAGUUGUUUUCUAACAAUCUUUUGUGUUACUAUGUUGGUUUUGGUUUCUACUAUGUUAUUUUAUUUGUUAAUUGUUAACCCUUUGAAUCAAAGCUCUGUAAGAUUCAUUAUUUUCAUUUUUUAUGGCAAUUAAUAAUACUGAUAGAUGGCAUCCUGGACAUAUCAAAAGAAGAGUGGUUGGGUAAUUUUGCAUUUUUUGUAGAUGAAAGAAGUUGAGGCUUGUGAUUGAAGAAUAAACCCUGCAAUUCUGAUCUCCUAUAAAAACUAUCGCUUUAGACUUAGAUUCUCUGUUUCCUAGAAGGCUAGAACUAAUACAUGUGUGGGUCUGAAAACUGCCUAGAGGAUAAGAAUAUGGGACUCUUUUUUAGAUAAUAUCUCACAUAGACAUUUUGUAAUUCACGUGCUUGGAAGUUUGGGAUUUAGGUCUUCUAAAGUGGGAGGGUGUGUAUAUUAAGGAAGUAAGAGUGUAUCCACCUUAAUCCAAAUCAUGGAUGGAUAUUCUCUUUCUUAACAUGUUUUCUUACUUUAGAGGAGUCAAAUCUGGAGGUCUGAGACACAGUCUUCAAAACUAAUUUAAUUCAUUAUGAUUCUGAAGUCUGAACAAUCGCAUACAAAGAUGAACAACUGUGUACAUUUCAGAUAUGAUGAAUGUAAAUCAUGUUUAUUGGGUGGUUUAGUUUGUUUCAGAUGUAAGGCAUCCUUGCUUUAAAUGUUGCAAGCUUUUGGCAGGAAUAUAUGCAUUCUGUAUGUGUGUAGAUUCUCCACUGGUCUUUUUCCUAAGCAAGGAUUGCCUCGCAUACAUUGUUUAUUCAUCAAAAUGCCUGCUCUUCUACUUAAUGUCUGGGCAUUCCUAGAAUUGCUAAUAUAUUUUGCCCACUAGUGCAUAAAGCAAAUUAUGUGUCUAAUUUUGUCACAAAUUUGAAAGAUCGGUGUUAUACUACAUGAAGAACGUCACUUACCACACAAGGAUAGGCUAACCACUUUGCAAUACAACAGUAUCACUAAGUCAAAGUCAAACCACGACAACACAUUAUAUUGAUUUUUUUUUUUAUUCAGUAAUGUCCACUAGGUGGGUUAGCAUUUCUCUAUUUUAAAUUUUGUGUGGACUAAAUUGUGGCAGGUUGAAAGGUGGAAUGAACAGAGGGAGAGUGGGACUUUUCCAGGACCUCUUUGAAAUCAUGUGGCACUUGGAUAUCCUUCUGAGGCAUGAGAAGUCUUGAACAUUCUGUUGGCUCAUUUUCUUCAGUUGUUGAGCAAUUGUGAAUAAGGCAGUUUGUGGAUAUUCAUUACUUCACAAAUGGUUGAAGCCAUUUUGCUUUUGAAGUUGAUAUAAUUGUUCUGACUGUGGUAUUUUCUUUCUUCAGCAUUGAAUUGAAUAUUAAUUAGUAAACUCUAUCCCCACAACAAGCUACCCUACAAUGGAUUAAUUUUUCACUUCUCUUUAUUUUGGAAAACAACAAUUAAAAAAGGGGAAAAAGGAACUUGCGUGGAAGUUUUGUAAAACUACUCAGCAUUUUUUGAUACUGAAAUUGGUCAAACAUCUAAUGAGUCGUGGGGUUUCAUUUUUGUUGAAUCUAUUAAACAAAGUCUGACGAUUUUAGAAAGAGAUAUUACGUAGUCAUUUUUUAAACGAUUUGUAAAUUAUUAUUUUUUUAUGAUGUGGAUUUGGCUCAACUUCGUGUAACAAGUUUGAAAAUUGUCUUAAUAAAAAAAACAUAUUUACAAAUUGUUAAGUACUCGAAUUAUUAUUAUUAUUAUUAUUAUUAAUUUGUUGUUGUUGUUAUUAUUAUUAUUAUUAUUAUUGGAUACGAAUAUUAGAUAGUUACCGAUGUGUGUGAAUUUAUAAUUUUUACUAGAGAUUAUUGUCUGUAAUUUAUAUUAUUGUCUGCAAAUUAUAUUUUAAAAUACUUGACGUUUUGAGGAUACACAUCUGAGUCAAAGAACUUGUAGAAGGUAACCAACGGAACCUUUAAAAGAGUAAGUGGCAAUUACUGAAGGUCUGAAGCAUUAAAAAUCUCAAUUAGUGUUUUUUAUUCUUUAAAUUAUAUUAUUAGUGAUUUUUCAUCUUAACAAAGAAAUAACUCUUUAUGUUCAUUGAUGUAUUUCAUUUAGCAAGAGUUUCAUGAGUUGAAAAAAAAUAAUUUACCAAGGAUAUAGACAAUGAUAGAAAAAUUGGAAUACAUCUAGUUAAGUUUUGUUAAAACUAUAUUCACUUUAAUGUAAUAAAAUAUAUUGUUUUUAAUGAAAUUUUGUCUAUUUUUUUUUUUAUGAAAGGCGUGCUUGCAUUUUAAAUUAGGAAAGCACUAACUAGUACGAAAGUAAUUUCUUGCAUUUAUGCCUUUUUUCCGUACUAAAUAGCAAUCCUCUUUAAAUCAAUAUGUUUGAAAAGGAAAUCUAGUUCAAUUAAUGGAAUAGUGUGUAUGAAUUAUUAUAAAUUUAUUUUAAUUCUUUCCUUUGAAUGAUAAAUUAAUAUCCUUGAAAUAAUUAUUAGUAAAGUCCAUAAUUAAAAUAUUUGGACCUUUCGUGCAUUUUUUUUUGUGAACCUUUUCAUGCAGAUUUGAUUACACGUUUAAAAAUAUUUUGUGUGUCGAGUGUAAAGUUACUACCGAUAAUUUAAGCAUCUUUCUUUGAUUUAACGUAAAAAUAUAGAUACAUGUGUGUUGCAAAUGCCACUCUAGACAGUAGACACAGCUUCAUUUUCUUCAACCUUAUCCGGUAUUGUGUACAUGUUGUUCUCGUCUCGCUAAGUUAUAUCCAAUAUUAGUAGAUGCAAUAAUCAAUCAGUUGACUUUGCAAUAAUCGACUAGUUUUAUGAACAUAACCAAAAUCACUUCUAAUUUAAAUCUUAUAAAUAUGAAUGAAGUAGUAUAUGACGUUUUGAAAAAAAAAUGUUUCAAAUUACAGUAGUUGUCAUUUUAUAAAACCGAUAAAGUAUUAAAUGUUUUUUUCUUCAUGGAGUACCCUUAUUUGGAGUAAUUGUUUUUGUGUAAUAAAUUAUUUUUUUAAUUAAUUAGAAAGAUAGAAAAUAUUAUACUAAGAAGUUACAUAAUAAUCUAUAUGAAAUUUAAAAUAUUAACAAUAUUUUUAAUAUUUAUGUGAAAAUCUUAAAUAUCAUAUAAAAUGAAAUAGAAGAGUAUUAUAAUAUACUACAUAAUAUUAAGCUACUUCUUUCCUUUUUCUUUUCCAGCAAAAAAAAAGACUUAUAACUUAGCCUAUAUAAGCCGGCAUUUAUUGGUUGACAAUACACUAAUAGUAUAUAUUUAUUAAACUUUUUAAUUAUGUUGAAGAUAUUUAUUUAUAAUACUUUAGAACCAUAAAUCAAAUUAUUUUUAAAAUUUUAUAUUCUAUUUUCAACUCAUUUAUUGCUUUUAUCAUUAAUAUAAUUUUUUAUAAUAAUACUUAUAUUUUAUUAAAUUACCAAACAAGUAUAUAAUAAAAAAAUUAUAUUCAAACCAAUUAAAAUGUGAGUAAGGAAUCUGAAUCUAAAUAUAUAAAUAUUCAAUAGAUAAAAUUAUAGAAAUUACGAUUACUAUUUACCUAAGUAAUUGAACAUUCAUAAUUAAUCAUGACAUGUUUUCAGCCGUCACGAAGCAUCACAGAAAAAGCCAAGUGUCACCUCCUAUUAGCCUUCAAAGCCGGUGGCAGCACCACCUGCCUCUGCCUGCCAACAGGACAAUUGUCAAUUGCUGCCUUUACCACUUCCACUUCCUUCAAAAUAAUGAAUUUGUAGUAUCUUUUAAAGAAAACAAAAUCAAAUUAUUAAUAUUUUAACUAUUUACAUUUUACUGUAUUAUCCAUGUAAACCUAACGUUGAUUAUUUAUUUUAUCUUUUAAUGAUGUGUUUGGUCUAGAAAGAAAUAGCUUUCCUCUCCCGUUUCUCUCUUUUGACGGAGGAAGCUUUUUUGUUUGUUUGUAAAUCUCGUAAAAAAAUAUUUUUUUAUCUUAUUUUUUACUCAAAUAAAUAAAUAGUGAUAAUUUAAUAUUUUUAUCUUAUUUCCUUCCUCAUAUUUUAUUAUUAUUAUUGUUUUCAGUAAACCAAUCAAAGGCUAGAUGAGUCGAAAAUCAGAUCUUGCAUAGCAUUGACACUCAUGUUUGACGGCUUUCAAAGAACAAAUUUUAUUUGUAUUCAAAGAUAUAAGAUUUAUUUGGUGGUGAAAGAAGAAAAAAAGGAAGAUAAGUCAUAAGUUUCAAUUUUUUUAUCAAUAAAAAUUAACAAUACUAAUAACUAACUAAUGAUAAAAAAAAGCAUUCUAUUUGAAUUUUAUUUAAUCUGACUGCUUGAGAUUUUUCUCAAGGUUAUAAAUAUAUAAUAUAUUAGUAUUAUUUGCUUAAUUUAAUUGUUACCCAAUUCUUUAUGUGCAAUGGCAGUCCUAUGAGAUGGUACUUUCUCAAUUUAAUAAAAUUAUAAGUAUUUAUUUUAAAAUUUUAUUUUAUAUUUUUUAAUUUUAUGUGUUUGAAACUUAUUUUCACAUGAGAAUAAGUAAAUUUAUCUUUUUACUUUAAUAAAAUCAUAAAUAUUUAUGUUAAAAUUUAUAUUUUACAUUUCUUAUUUAUAUGUGUUUCAACUUAUUAUUAUUUUUCAUUCUUCUUAUAUCUUUAUUUAUUUAUCAUUAUAUACAUGAUAAUUAUUAUUAAAUUCAUUUUUAAAAUAAAUUAUUCUCACGUCCUAGAUCUGUCACUGUUUACAUGUUAUUAAUUCUGUAAUUUUUUUUAUCAUAAAAAAAUAAUCAAAUGCAAAAAGUAGAUAAAUAACAAGGAUGUGGUGGUGAAUGGUAGUGACUUCUAAUCUUCAAUCAUAAUGGUAGUAGGCAGAAUAGAUAUCGUGGAAGCCACGUAGGUGGUUUCGUGGUGAGUGAUUCGGUGACCCUAAGUUCUAAAACACCCUAACGGUCAACCCAUAGAUGAUGACUUGGGGCAAUUGGUAAGUAAAAUUUCUCCUAAAAAAUUUAAAUUAAUAAAUACAAGUAACAAGGAAUUGACCUGGUCCUGCGUGUUUGGUACAACCAGAAUAUAUAUUAAUAUCUUGCCAAUUAAUUCUCUAGUGAAGUGAUUUUUGUAAAGAAAUUGCAUUACUUUCGUACUUCUAUUGCCAAACGUGAAUGAAUUAGUUUCAUUAGCCAUUCAAUAAGCCAAAUGUAUAAAGACAUUGCAUUAUUUUUUCAAUGUAUGUUCCGAGGCAGUUGAAACUGGUGACCUAUUCUUCUUCAAUUUCUCUUUCUCAACUUUUGAAAAAGUUAUACUUUUUAAUACAAUCUUGGUAACUAUAAUUUCUUAAAUUAAAAACAUCAAAUACUAUUUUUUUAUACGUACUUUUUACUGUUGAUUCAUUGACUAUUAUUCUUAAAAAAUAGUUUGUAUUAUGAAGAGGUUAAAAAGGUAGCUAGUAAAACUGUUUUUAAUUUCGAGAAUAGGUCGCUUCCAUGUCUUUUAUAAUACUACUAAGUCGUAAAUUAUAUGAAUAUUUUUUAAUUUAUAUAUAUGAAAUAAAGUUGUUUAAAUUUAAGGGGGGAAAUAAAUUUAUAAAUUGAGCCCAACAAGCUUAAAAAUAUAAGAAAUUAAGAUGGAACAGACUCCUCUAAGAUGCAAUAUGUGCUUUAAAAAAUAAAAUGCCCAAACCAUGACCCUUAAUUAUAAUGAAUCUUUCAAAUUAUUACACCCCAUUAAAAAUUACCAUGUGAUAUUUACUUUUAAGAAAAUAAAAAUAUAUAUUUUUUAAAAAUGUAUCGUCCUCCUCUUUUUUUUGUUUUAAUAAAACAUGUUUAUUUUUAUUAAAAUUAAAACAAUUACAUGGCAGUUUAAAAUGAGAUGUAAUCAUCCAGAGCCUUCAUUGUUAUGAAGGUUAAGAUGUGUACACGUUACCCUUCAUUAAGAUAAGCAAUAACUUUAGUCUUAUCAUUUGUUAAAGCCGUAUCCGUCUUUGGAAGAUUAUGAUGGACUCUUUUCUUUCUCUCUUGAAGUAUUUUGUCACUCCAUUUUACCGCAUGACCAUAUCCAACCUCACAUCGUGUAUGAAUCAUCUUUCUUAUGCAACAUUCAUAUAUAUAACAAAUUUCUAAUUCACAAAACACUAUAUCCCUUGUAAUUAGAAAAACAACCAGCUCCAAGUCACACCCUUCAUUCUUUCUUUUUAUAAGAAUAACCUAUAAAAACACAUUCUUACUUUAACUAGCAAACUUAUUUCCUUUAUGACGUUGAUUAUUGCACAUAACACAAACACCCUAACACAUGAAUGAUGAAACGUAGGUUGCUCACCAUUUAACUACUCAACUAUCAAAAUAUAUUCCCAUUCAAUAAGAAAAUUUGUUUAAAGGUAUAAAGCUUGAGGCCUUGAGCCACUUUAAGUAUAUGUGUCAAUGCUUGCAUUCUACUUGGCAAUUUUGCUCUAGUGUCCCUAUAUAAGAUAUUUCAUGCACAAUACCAUGUUUCAAAAUAUAAUUAUUCACGCUCACAAAUUAUGCAUCAUUAUCAUUACACACAACUUUUACUUGUUUAUUAAAUUGACACCCUGCCAUAGCUAUAAAAUUGCGAAAAUUGUGUUGAAAAUUCUAUUUUAUCAACCACAAAAUAGAUCCACUAUUAUGACAAUAAUCAUCAACGAUGGAAAAGAAAAACAUCUUGCACCAUAAAAAAAAUGGAGAUCGAUUUGGACCCAAUAUGUCGCAAUAUGAAUUAACUGAAACACCUUAGUUGUUUUAUUUUCACUAAUAAUCUCUUGUUUGUUUUGCCCUGAGACAAACAUCAUAUGCUAAAUUACAUAUUAAAUUAGUAUUACUAUUAGAACCAACCUUAGGGAACAAUUCUACAACCUAAGAUGAAUACCCCAGCUGCUGUUGCCACAAAUCAGUGGAGCUAUCACCAUUUGUUUUGACAACUACUGUCACAGUCAUCCAUUGAAAAAAAAAAAAAAGGAAGCCUUAAUUUCUUAUUGCUCACAUGUGUUAAUCAAUCUUUAAAAUGUGGUCGUAAAUAGCAUAAAAUAUAUAAUUAAUUAUAUUUUUAAGUCCUAUAACUCUUUCAAAUUUUUACUUUUAGUCCCUGUGAUGAAUUUUAACUCUGUAAUUGUUUUUAGUUCCUAUGAUCAAAUAUCACCAUUAAACAAUGACUUGGCAUUAAUUUUAUUAUUAUUUUAUUAUAUUUAAUGGCGGUUCAUUUUUUUGGUUAUUAUAAGUCGCCAAAAAUUACUUUUCUAAAUAUUUAAAAUGAUUUAAAACAAUUUCUGUUAGUUUUUAAUCUCAAAAAAAUUGUUUUUGCCCCCUUUCAUCCAUCAAUCUAUGCAAGUCCAUAUCCAAAAUGAAAUCAGAUACGAAACACAAAUUCUGAUAAAUAAAAAAAAUCAGAUCCAGUAAUCAAACUUUGUAACCAAAGCACAAGUUGAAAGAGGAAAUCUCACCAAAGAAGAUUAACAAUUUCUUUUGACAAAUUAAUUAUCAACCAUAUUAAUAAAUAUCUUACUCUAAUAACAUGGUUUAAAAAUACCAAUAAAUACAAAUCAAAUUAACUUAAUUAUGAGAAAUAAAUUCAGUCUAAUUAUAGCGGUAAAUCAACCUAAUUAUAAAAUCCACACCUAAAUAUGGACAGUACAAUUAAUUACAAAAUCUGUUAAUUAUUCAAUAUAGUACAAUAUUUUUUUUAAUUAAACACGUUCGGAAUAUUUAUUUUUUAAAAAUUUUGAAACUAACUUUAUUCUUUUCCUACUUAGAAUUUGCCAAAUUUAAGAAAGCCCCCGGAGGAAGAGCCCAGAACAGAUACUAGUUUUUUUUAAAAAAAAACCACGUUUUAACCAAAUUAACCCGAAACCCUUUUCUUCCUUCCAACGGCGAAAUCGCGUUACCGUGGCGUGUGCAAUAAUAUCUCAAAAUAUUGUCAACAGUUACAACUCACAACAAACACCACGCGCAUAUGAACUAUAUAUUUAUACACGCGCAUAUGGAUACAGUCUCAUAUAACAAUCAUUCUUUCUCAAAACACUUGCUCCAUUAUUAUUUUCUCAUUCAUUCGUUCAUCAUGGUUCGGUUCAGCAACAACGUGAUCGGACUCCUGAACUUCCUGACCUUCCUCCUCUCCAUCCCGAUCCUGGUGGCCGGAGUGUGGCUGAGCAAGCAGGGCGCCACCGAGUGCGAGCGGUGGCUGGAGAAGCCGGUGAUCGCACUCGGCGUCUUCCUCAUGCUCGUCUCACUCGCCGGCCUCGUCGGCGCGUGCUGUCGCGUGUCGUGGCUCCUCUGGCUCUACCUCCUCGUCAUGUUCGUCCUCAUCGUUCUUCUCUUCGCCUUCACCAUCUUCGCCUUCGUUGUCACCAACAAGGGCGCUGGCGAAGUUGUGUCUAAUAGAGGGUAUAAGGAGUAUAGGCUUGGGGAUUACUCGAACUGGUUGCAGAAGAGGGUUAACAACACUAAGACGUGGAACAGGAUCAGGAGUUGCUUGCAAUCUGGGAAAGUCUGCACUGAGUUUCAAUCCAAGUUUCUAAACGACACCGUUACUGAGUUUUACUCCGAAAACCUGUCCGCGCUUCAGGUUUCUUUCUUUCUUCUUAAUUUUCCUUUGUUUGACUUGAUUCCUUUUCUGGGUUGUUGUCAAAAUUUGAGCUUGUUCGUGGACGAUCUGGUUUUCGAUCGAUAUCCUGUUUUGUUUACUUUUUCCUUGUGGGGUUGCUUCACAAUGAAAAAAACUUAAUCAUAGUUUAGGGUUUUCUUUUUUAGAAAAAAAAAUAUUGUUGGCUAGGAAUUGGAGAUUUAAUGUUUUACUCCUCAUUAAAAGUGAGUAUAAGUUACAUAUAAAACUUCAAUUCUAAUUAAAUGGUUAUAAAAAACAACUAAAGAAAUUGUUCAGAAUUCGUAUCUUGAAAAUUUGGUUGCCUUAAUCAUUAGAUCAUAAACUUUUGGUUGUUGAGGUGUAUAUUGAGGGUUUUUUCAAUUAAAAUUGAAGUUUCAGCUUCCUUGUUUGAGAAUUUUAAUUUUAAUUGAACAAGGACAAUAAAAAUAAAAAUAAAAAUAUUUGCAAGUAGCUUUUGUUUCUUGAAAUUUGGUUGUCUUAUUAGACCAUAAGCUUUCGGUUGAAUUUAUGUUUUUGCUUGAAAUUGAAGAACGGUUAUGAUGAUGGUAUAUGUGCCCUUUGGCCCACCCCCUUUAAGUUUUUUUGUCUCCUUUCUCUCGAACGCGAGUUUCAAUUCGAGUUGUUUUCUGGAAAAAAGUGAACUUUCGUCAGAUCAACUUUGUGAGAUACUACUGGUAUUUUAUAGUAGUAGUAGAGUAGUCAAGGCUGGUGCUUUUUGAAAGGGAGGUCUUUUAAACUGGGAUAGGCUUCCAUCUGAAAAGGCUGUGAUCUUUUACUUUUUAUUCCCAAUGUAUUUUUUGUCGGACUUUUUAGCAUUCUUGUAUUUACUAGUAAUUUUUUAAUAGGACUGAACGAUGCUAGUGCUGCUGCCUGGGCUAAAAGUUGCGUACUUUUUACAUUUUUCUCUUAAAAACCUGCAUGAUUUAGCGUGCACUUCUCUUGUUAUUUUAAGAUCAUCUAUAAUGAGAAUCAAUUAAUUAAUGAACUUAACCAAAAAAAUUAUUAUUUUGAUAUGUGCGAUUUUGAGUCUCUUUAAGAAAAAGUUGUUUAUAUCAACAAUUUUGACUCAUGAUUUACUUAAUUUCCUAUUAAAUAUAGGAGAGAGAAACAAUUGAGUUAGUUAAUAGAAAUUUUUAUUAGAGAGAAAAUUCAUUAACCUGUUUAAGAUGGACGCGACAUGAAUUAAGUUACUUGCAUAAAAACCCAAGAAGAUGCUCUAAGGUGUGAAUGAUACAACUUAAAAGUGAAGUUUUUAUGUGCCCAUUCUUCCACCAAGAGCAUCCACCCUUGAAUUUAUUUGGGUCUAACAGUGGGAUCCACCUAGUUGGUGGCAUCACAUGGUCAAAAUUUUAUUGGUGAAGGAAAAUAUUUGCCUUAAAGGACAUAAGAAUUGUCCAAAAUGAGAUAUUCUUAAGGAAAAUGUUUCAUGAAUAUCCAGUAUACUAUUUAAUACCUUUAACAACUAGAAAGAGUAAAAAAAGAAGAAAAAUAAGAAGAGAAAUAGAGAGAUAUUGAUGAAUGUAUAAAAUUAUGAAUGAUUCAUAUAUUACUAGGAUGUUCUUACACGAUAGUAUUGAUAUACUGUUAUACAAUGUACAGGAUUUAUUUGUUUAAUCAUAAUAAGUGCAAAUUAUUGUGACUGCUUUACUUAAUGGAUUGAAUUUCAUUGUGACACACAAUAUGUUAUGCUUAAUUUUGGACACCUUGUGGAUUUUGCAUUAAUUUGUUGGAUGUUUUGUGCAGUCUGGAUGCUGUAAACCUGCAGAAGAAUGCCAGUUUAGCUAUGUGAAUCCAACGACAUGGACGAAGCCCACAAAUGUGACUAAUCAGAGCAACCCAGAUUGUGAUGCUUGGAAUAACGAUCCAACAGUUCUGUGCUUCAAUUGCCAAUCAUGCAAGGCUGGCUUACUGCAAAACCUCAAGACUGAUUGGAAGAGGGUGGCUGUUGUUAACAUCGUAUUCCUUGUCUUCCUCAUUAUUGUCUACUCCAUAGGGUGCUGUGCAUUCAGGAACAAUAGGAGGGAAAAUUGGAAGGGUUAUUCUCGUUAGCUAAGAUUACUCAGUAUUAUUACUAGUGUGUAGAUGAGUUUGCUAGACAAUCUGGUUUAUAUGGUGGAUUUUUAUUUUUUAUUUUUUUAUGGGCUUUAUGUGUAUGAGCUGUUUUCAGUAGACAGUCUGUUAUCUAAAUUGCUCAAUUUUAUAUAGCAGUUUCCUAGUAUCAUCUAUACGUAAAUAUUACUUCUGGACACACUGCAUUCCCUUCGAAUUCAACGUCUACCCUCUAUAAAUUUCUUCAAUCGAAAUCGUAGGGUGUGUUUGGUUUGCAUUUCUAUUUUCUGUUUUUAUUUUUUGAAAAUGAAAAAAAAAAUAGUCAAACCAAACAUCAUUUUAGUAAAAAAAUGAAAACAAAAAACAGUCAAACCAAACAUCAUCUUAGUAUUUUGUCCGGUGCUGAAUAAUCACCCCACAUCAUUGACGGUCUAAGAGAAUUUUGUUUAGUUUAAAUCCCAUUAAUUUAUACUGCAUUCGAAUUUUAUAAGUUUUUUAAACUAAUGAAGUUUUUCUUUUCUUUUUUAAAAUUGUAGAAAUUCGGUCUCUCGUUCUUUUUAUUUAUUUAUCUAAGACUUGUAAGUUUUUGUUUUCUACUUAUUUUUUUUAUAGAUUGAAUAGAUUAAAUUGUUUUUAAUUAAAAAUCAUUAACCAAAAUAUCAACUCAAAAUAAAAUAAAAAAUCUCAAAAUUUCUUCAUUCAAAAUCCUAAUUUCAUAUCUUAUAAUUUUGUUAAUGUUUAUUUAAGUUUUCAUUUUUUCUAAAUUUUACAAUUAUUUUAUAUUUUAAUUCUAUCAUAAAGUAUUUGGAUAAAAAAAAUUAAUGAUAGAUAAGACUAAUAGCAUGCUUGGUCUACUAGACUUGAGUUGAGUGAGAAAUAAAUUUUCUUAUUAUUAUGGUUUAUUUUUUCAUUCUUUGACGAGAAUUUGCUAAUAGACGAAUGUAUCUAAUAGUCUCUAUUUCACUCUUUUCAACACUUUUUGUAAUCGACUGAAAUUUGUCAAAAAUUACUAAUUUUGGUGGAAUAAAUUAUAUUUUUUCUUAUAUUUAAAAUUUAAUUUAAAAAUAAAAAUGAAAGGAUACAUUAAAAAUAAAUAAAUUGUCAAGAAAAAUCCUUUAAAACUCACUCCUUGAAGAAAAAAAAUAGCUAUUUUAAUUUUUAUAUAUAUAUAUAGAGAGAGAGAGAUUAUGUUGAAUUUUUUAAUAAAUAUAUUUAUUUAAUUAUAAGUAUAAUUAUUAUUUUAACUAACAAUUAUAAUUUUACCCUUUAUCUAUGAAAGUAAUAAAUAAUUCUAAGUAAAGUUUAAAUAUUUAUUUAAUAAAUGGUAUUAAAUUUCUGUUGUAUUUUUAAAAUAAAAAAUAUUUAAUUUUUAAUGAAUAUUAAGAAAAUAUUGUAAAACAAUUUAAAACUAUUCCACUAAUAGAUCUUCAAAUGAGUAAAAAAUAACCAGUGUGGUAACUGGUAAAGGAAGAUAUAGAUUAAACGGUGUGUUCUUUUUCUAUUUUUCCUUUUUUUUUUCUUCAGCGGGUGUGUGUUCUUAAUCUUCCGUGUAUUAUGUUUUUGCUUUACACGUAAAAGAAAUGUAUUCUUUUGUAAAUCUUCUUUCUAUUUUAUAAGGAAAAUAAGUGUAAUUAAUAUUUAUCACAUAGAAAAAGUAGAAUAAUUAGCAAAAAAAUAUUUUAAUUUUUUUAAAAUUGUUAUACACAUAAAUGGACCAGAGAAAUUGAAAUGCAAAUAUGAUCUGUGACUGCACCACGUGUUUGGUGAUAAAUUGUACUUAAUCUAUCCAGCUUUAUCGAAUAAAUGAGUACAAUAGUUUUAUUUCUUUUUUGCUACAAUAGCUAGCUAACAACAAUCAAAUCAAAAUUUAAGACUUCAUACGGAUAAGAAAAAAAUUGAAUAGAAACUUGGAUGUAUUAUUAAGGUAAAUUUCAAUUCUGUACAUAAAAACAAAUAGCUUUUGCAAUCUGGUGGGGAUAAUCCUCUAACCAGUACAUUUAUUUUGAUUGUAUAGCAAACUUUACUAACCUAUCAUGUUUCCAGUUUUUUUUUGUGAAUGAAUGAGGAAUCACAUAUGGAAAAGUGGGAUUUCAUACUCUUUCAAGUUUGCAAUCCAUCAUCAAAAUGAGAAACACAUCUGGGCCGCCACAAUCAAGGCCCAUUUCCUCAUCAACAUUUGACUUGUAAUGAAAUGGUCCUAACUCCUCUUCAUCAUUAAAAUAACCUUGAUGAGUUUGUGUUAACGCAGCUAAUUACUCUUGAGGACGUAAAUGAGUCAAAGUUAAGUAAAGCUCAUCAGACUUUAUUUGUGAAAAAAAAUUGAACUCAAUUUUAACUCAUUUAUUUAAUCAAAUCUAAUAGAAAAUUUGGAUUUGACUUGCUAAGAAAUAUUAAGUUUGAGUUUGACUUUUUACUUUUUUUUAUAACUUAAUAAUUUGCUUUUUAUGAAAUUUUUCUUAAUGUGUUUUCAACUUUAUCAAAAAAAUAUUUAAUAAUUAUUUUAAUACUAGAUAAUUAUCUACUGAUAGUAAAAUGAAUUUAACAUGUGAUAAGUAAAAUUUAAAAAAUAUACUAAAUAAUUAAUUUAACGAUUUUCUAAGAGGCAAAAUUAUUUUCAUAAAAAAUACCAUUUAUGUAAUAUAUAUAUAUAUAUAUAUAUAUAUAUAUAUAUAAAGCGACUUAUUCACUUCACACGUUGCCCAGGAGCAUGCANNNNNNNNNNNNNNNNNNNNNNNNNNNNNNNNNNNNNNNNNNNNNNNNNNNNNNNNNNNNNNNNNNNNNNNNNNNNNNNNNNNNNNNNNNNNNNNNNNNNNNNNNNNNNNNNNNNNNNNNNNNNNNNNNNNNNNNNNNNNNNNNNNNNNNNNNNNNNNNNNNNNNNNNNNNNNNNNNNNNNNNNNNNNNNNNNNNNNNNNNNNNNNNNNNNNNNNNNNNNNNNNNNNNNNNNNNNNNNNNNNNNNNNNNNNNNNNNNNNNNNNNNNNNNNNNNNNNNNNNNNNNNNNNNNNNNNNNNNNNNNNNNNNNNNNNNNNNNNNNNNNNNNNNNNNNNNNNNNNNNNNNNNNNNNNNNNNNNNNNNNNNNNNNNNNNNNNNNNNNNNNNNNNNNNNNNNNNNNNNNNNNNNNNNNNNNNNNNNNNNNNNNNNNNNNNNNNNNNNNNNNNNNNNNNNNNNNNNNNNNNNNNNNNNNNNNNNNNNNNNNNNNNNNNNNNNNNNNNNNNNNNNNNNNNNNNNNNNNNNNNNNNNNNNNNNNNNNNNNNNNNNNNNNNNNNNNNNNNNNNNNNNNNNNNNNNNNNNNNNNNNNNNNNNNNNNNNNNNNNNNNNNNNNNNNNNNNNNNNNNNNNNNNNNNNNNNNNNNNNNNNNNNNNNNNNNNNNNNNNNNNNNNNNNNNNNNNNNNNNNNNNNNNNNNNNNNNNNNNNNNNNNNNNNNNNNNNNNNNNNNNNNNNNNNNNNNNNNNNNNNNNNNNNNNNNNNNNNNNNNNNNNNNNNNNNNNNNNNNNNNNNNNNNNNNNNNNNNNNNNNNNNNNNNNNNNNNNNNNNNNNNNNNNNNNNNNNNNNNNNNNNNNNNNNNNNNNNNNNNNNNNNNNNNNNNNNNNNNNNNNNNNNNNNNNNUACUCAAGGACUUGAACUCAAAACUAUUUAAUUAAAUUAAAAUAUUCUUGUACUAGUUAAUCUACACGUUUGAUGGAUAUAAUAGUUAUAGCUAAGUUAGCUAAGUUUACUUAUAUUUCUUUUUCUUUCUUGUUUUUUCUUAUUAAGCAUGACCUCUGGUCUUAUUUAUAAGAAUCAAAUAAAAGUGAUUAAAUUGGUUAAUUUGUUAUAAAUUUUAAUUUUAUUUUAAGAUUACCCAUGACAUUAAAUGAUUUAAGAUGUGAUUUUUUUUUUCAAAUUAAAAGACAAUUUUUUCAAUUAAAGAGUAUAUCUUGUUUUUGUUUAUAACUCAAUAAAUGCACUAUCUUUCAUGGAAAAAUGAGUUUAUGUCAUUGAUAGACCUCAUAAUUAAUUCGGAAUAAAAAAAAUUAACAAGAAAUAAGUAAUCAUAUAUUUCUUAUAAUUAGGACAACAUUAUUAAGAAAAUUGUGCAUUAAUCAUUCUUCUAUUCUUGUAUUGUGUCUUAAGCAUUCUUUGGAUUCAAAUCUCUUGUUUCAUAUUUGUGUCCCAUCCUUUAUGCCACCAAUCAAAUUUUGACAUGUCACUUUGACAAAGAUGGAAUACAAAUAGGAGUUAAGAGAUUUAAAUCUGCAUUCUUUUAUUCUUGUACCAAUGAUUAUUUUAUUGACUCAUUCCUAUUGCCAAAAUUUGUAUUCAUUUCAAAUGAAAUUGUAUCCCGAUGAUUUUUUUCCUCCUUUUAAUGAAGAUGGUUCUCAUUUUGAAUUCAACGAAUUUCUUUUGAGUUUUGUGAUCUUAAUAAAGUUUAAAUAAUAAUAGAGUUUAUUGAAUUUGUUUUAUAAUUUUUCAUUUUAAAAAUAUUCUUUAAACAUUAAAAGGAUUUUUUUAACCAUAGUAAGUAGAGUCUUUUGUUCUCUGGUGAGAUUUUGAGAUAUUUCGCUAGCUUCGUUCAUCUAGGUUGAUUAGUCUAAAACUUAGUUAUAUUUUUCUCUCUUUAAGAGAAGGGACAAACUUAAACUAUUUGAGGGUGAGCAAAUGGAUUCUCUUAUUUUAAUAAAUUUACAUUUAUUUUCUUAAAAUUUAAUACUUUGCACCCCUAAUUUUAUGUGUUGGAAUUCCAUUACUUAUUCUCAUAUGAGAGUACACAAAAUAUACCUCCUUAUUUUAAUAAAAUCAUGAAUAUUUUUCAUAAAAUUUUAUAUUUUACACUUCUUAUGUUUACGUAUUUGAAUCACUUUUUCAUUUUAUGUGUCAGAUUUAUUUUUAAAAAUAGUUUACCUUCACUAACAUUAGAUCUUAGAAUGGUCACCGCUUAAAAGUGUAUCUUGUGGAUCGAAACGUUAAAAGAUAUGUGAAACUUGAAGAAAAUUUAACAAGGGCUUGUGUAAUUUUUCGUUGCAUAAUUUUUUAUUUAUUUUCUCAUAUAGGAUAUUUAUUUAAAUUUUAAAAAUGAAUAAGUGGUUUGCAAUAUCUAUGAUGAAAAUAAAACACAAACAUGAGGGAAACAAUUUACAGGAAAAAUAAUAAUAAUACGAGCUCAGCACUCCUAAUUUUCCCAGCAUAAUCGGAAUAACGGAUGUAAGAAAACGAGAUGGAAGGAAACAAAAUUUAAUUCAUAUCUUUUUUUCUCCUAAAACAUAUUAUCACUCUUACAUAAUUACCAUUAGUCCAGGCCAUGAGCUUGAAUUUAUUUUCACACUCUAUUCGUUAGAAAUUUUGGUGAAAGAAAUUAAGCCAAAUUUGUUUAAGCUGCAACUUGUUCCAUGUUUCAGUUUCUUCAAUUCUGAAAUGAUCAAAACUUCACCAAAACUUCUAUUUGUUUAAUCAUCAUGGCUACACCUUGCUAUCUGCUUCUGUUGCAUGUUCAGACAAUUUCUCUGAUAGAAGGGGUUGUUCCAAAUCUAUCCUACUACUUAUCUCAUCAUCUAGUAAGUUUGAUGAUUGUGGUGCCUCUGGUUUAAUCUCAGCAAACUCUUUGGCUUUACCCCAAAGCACAACAUAUAAACCGGCAAUAACUCCAACAGCCCCUACCAAACUGAAAAUGAAUCACGCAUAUGAAUUAUGAUCAGGCCACACAUAUAAUACUAAUAAUAAUAAUGAUGUUUGAGUUUCUUCAUGAAUAGAUAAAAGGUACGUAGAAAAAUAAUACUAGUAGUGUAUUAAUUACCUUCCAACGUACACCUCUUCCUCUAGGAAAGUUGCACUUAUCAAAGCAGUGAUGACUGUUGCCAAAGGGUUGAACAUUGCACAGUACAGGGGACCUCUUUCUGAGAUGCACCAGGAUUGAAUGAAGAAGCUAACCGCUAUUCCGAUUCCCUAUUUCAUAAAAUUAAUAAUAAGAAUAACAAUAAUACAAGUUGCUAAUUAACAGUGUCGGUAUUGUACUACACAACAAAUGAUUACUAAUUGAACUUUUGCCGAGUGGCUUGGAACUUACUGCAUAUAAAGAACAUGAAAUCUGUAAAGGUGAUUGCAAAAUCCAUGCUUGAAGAUCCGACUCUGAAAGCAGGGCAAAUAGGGCAGCCUGUAUUGUUGAAAACAGACACAUCCAAAAGGUUGAUAAUAAAUGGUCUGGGCAGCACGAAGUGAUUGGUACCUGUUGAGUUGAACUUGUGUCAGAUCCACUCAUGGAGAAAGGAAUCAUCCUAGAAUAUUCUACUUUUUAUGGAAAGUGAUAAUCUUGUACUCCAGCUUUACCAAAAAAAAUAAAAUAAAAUUAUUUAGUAGUCCGAGAAAGUUACCCUACUACUUAGGAUCAUUAGAGAUUAGUUUUAUUUUUUGGAUCACCACUCAUGAUGCAAAGUAUCCAUAUGCUUUGCAAAUCAGAGAAUCUUAUUGAGUAUGUAGAGUUUUUUUUUUCAAUCAUAAUUUUUUGAUUUAUAAAAUUUGAAUUAAUAUUUUACUUAAAAAUUAAAUUAGAUCCAUUCAGAUCAACCACUUGUUGUUGGUCAUUAGAUAUUUGUUUGAAUUAUAAUUAUGUGAUAAUUUCAUAUGACAUAAUAAAUUUUCUAUUCAUCGAUUGUAUCAAAGGAAGGAUGAGAAAAUAAAUCGGCUUUUAUUUACCUGCAGGAUCAUCCAACAUGACCAAAAAACACUGCUUGCUAAGAGCAAUAGGCAACCCAGCAGCCAAUCAUCACCUUGACUGCCGGUGAGAUGUAUAGAAGGAAGGAACUCCGUGUGUAACAGCUUCUGUCCUUUGACCAAUGCCAUGGUUAAGGCUCCAGCCACGCAACAAACUGUCCCUAAUAUCUUGGCCGUGCUUCUUAAGCUUAUGUCAACUUUCUCAAAUCUGACUCAUUAAAUUUUAAGGAAACCCGUAUCAGCAAAAGAAUAUGAUUUAUUUUUAUACUGUUAAUUAAUUAUAUUCUAUUUUAGCUUAAGUAAUUAUGUUUUGAUUCCUUUUUUUCUUGUCGUACUUUGUAAUUGCAUGUAUAUCCUUAGAGUCAUUACCCCGCAAUUGCUGCAAUUACAAACGUUAAUGCCGGUAUCAGAUUACUCAUAGCGGUAGCUGCAGUAGAAGAUGCAUAAAAUAAUCCUUUGAAGUAUGCAUUCUGAUUUGCCGUGACUCUGCAAGGAAAAAAUAAAAAAAAUUAAGGGUAAGUUUUAAAAUUUUCUCUUUGGUAUAAAUUCAACAGCAUGUUACAAGUGAGUUUGGCAGAGUAGUGUACCCAACAAGAGCGGUCACAAACAUCAAAAAGAAGCUCCUGAAUCCCAAAGAAUCUUUCACUGAUUGUCUCCUGUUAUCAAAAGUAAGCAUGUAUAUGUGAGUUAGUGAAAGAAGAUGAGACUAAGCUAUAAAAAGAGGAGAAAGUGGUUUAAUUAUUACCUCUUAGGAGAGAAAAAUAUAGGCGCCAAAGCCAAAGUGGCUAUGCCUUGCCUGUAUACUACAAACACCGUUGUACUCAACCCAUCUAAGAGAGCGGCUCUUGUGAAUAUGGCAAGUGCUGCAUAAUGAAUUUGCAGACCUAUCAUAACAAUUAGAGGAAGAUUGCUAGCCAAACCAGCCAUUUUUUUUAGAUGGAGCCUAAAGUUGAAAUCCUUUGACACCUUCUAUUACAUAUAUGAAGAGGAAGAGAAGGGGGUAGAUCUAUUUAUAUCAAGACAAACUCAAUUUGUAAUCCACUUUUCUAUAAAUUUAUCAUUAUUAACAGAGAAAAAAAAUUGUUUAAAAUAAGAUGAGUAAGGUAAUGAUUUUUUUCCUAUAAGAGAAAUGUUAGUAACGCCUCUUUUAUUUCUGACCCUCUUUCAUAAAUAUCUUUUUGGAGACAGCUCAAUUUGAAAUAUUAUUAUACAUUUUCUUGAUGAGUAAUAAAUAUCCUUAUAAAAUAUUGUAAUACAUUAAAUACAAGAUUUGAAUCUUCUGACUAAUGCAUUGCUCUGUAGGAAACUAAUCCUUUUUACUAGAUUGUUGAUAUGUAAUAAGAUAUAAAAAAAUGAAUUAAAAAUAUUAUUCAAAAAUAUAUUUAAGAAUAAUAUUUUUUUUACAUUAAUGCAGGUCAAAAUCAAACUUAUACUAUUAAAUAGCUUUUUACCAAGAAAUUCAACCUGAAAACUUAUUGAUAAUUUGAAGUUAAUUUAAUAAUUUCUACCAUACAUAUCAUAUCUAAUUAAUAAAGACAAAUGCCAAAGAUAAGUAUGCCUCAAUUACUACCGUUAAACAUUCAAAGAACUGAACAACUUGUAGCCCCAAAACAACAAAUAAAAAUACAGAGUCGACAAGAUAGACAAAUUAAUGAAGAGGGACACAUCCACGUUGGUGAAUAGGUACCAAAGAUAAGGCUAUCAUUUGAAGGAUACGCGGAGAUUAGAGAUCAUGGAAAGAUGAAAUACACCUAUACACGUUUAAAGAAAUUAAUAUAUAUAUAUAUAUAUAUAUAUAUAUAUAUAUAUAUAUAUAUAUAUAUAUAUAUAUAUAUAUAUAUAUAUAUAUAUAUAUAUAUAUAUAUACGAAGCUUCUAGUAAGAAAACAAUAAUUCGAUAAAAUGUAUGAUGCUGAAUCAUUUAUGUUUUGGCAGCCUUAGAAAAUAUAAUGGCAUUUCCUACAUAAAAAGGUUAGGUGAAUAAUGCCAAUUGCCAUGUGGCACAAGGGACAAAGUCCAAUCAGUCUCAUUAGGAAGAUAGGAUGUCCACGGCAGUGCUGGCAAAGUCAAAAAUUAUUGGACGGACAGUCCACUGCAACAUCUCAAGAAUUCAUGUUAAUCUUUGAUUCAUAUACAUUUUUCCAUUUUUUUAUAAUUAAUUUGUUUUUCAAUUAUAUUUCAUUUUCAAUCUUUGUCUUUUCCUUAAGCGGUGGCAGUUUUUAGCGUACGACUCCAUCAAAUUCAGACGAAAAGAAAGAAAAUUAACAUUUAAAAAAUUAAGGGAUAUACUCAGAUUGGUUUUGAUGUAAUGGCCAUAAUAAAAAAGGUGCAAUUAUUUGCAUAGUAACAAAUCCUGACUGCUAGAGAUAAACGAAAGGAAUCUACUUUGAAGAUUCCAGUGACUUGUGUAAUCAUCAAUAUUUAGUGCUCCCUCUAAUUUUAUAUAAUUUUUGUAUGAUGACAUAUAUAAUAAAAAAUAUAAAAAGUGAAAAGUGAAAAGUGAAAACUAUAUUUAUAUAAUUUCUGUACAAUGACAUAUAUAAUAAAAAAAUAAAAAAGUGAUAAGAGAACAAACGGAUGAGACCAUUGACAUGUAAAUAAAGAAAAAAUAACAUAUUGAUAUAUUAUAAAAAAAGUAUUACAGUAUAUUCCAAGUCACUAUUAGAUGUUACACGUUCAUUACACAUGAAAUGUCAGACAGAAGACAAUGAGAUCAGUUGUUCACGGGUAAACUCUUGGCAACCUGCACCUAAAAAGAUCAAAUGGGUGCACAUGCCAAAAGCGUUGUUGUUUUGUAGAGUUGUAGUAUA